rnacentral:rRNA from 1 species
UUGAAAGGGAAACGAUUGAAGUCAGUCGUACCGACGAGAAAUCAGCUUAUCGUGUGUUAACUUGUGGGCGUGCGUGAGUUUCGGCCUCGCUGUUUGCAUGUUUGUGCGCUUUGGGUGUACUUUUUCGUAUGGGUGGCCAACAUCAGUUUCGAUCACUAUAAAAUGACUGGCGGAAUGUAGCUUCGAUUUCGGUUGAAGUGUUAUAGCCUCUGGUAGAUGUGGUGAUUGAGACUGAGGAUUGCAACGAAUAUCCUUUGGGCUAUCCGUCUGGCCUCUGAAAGUUGCUUGGGUGCUGAAAGCUUGCUUAUGGUUAUCUAAGUUAACGGUCAAUAGGUUAGAACGUGAUUACAUUCGUUAAGGAUGUUGACGUA